GGUUGAGAGGGGCGCGGACGUCAGAAGAAACGGUAUCGUCGUCGGGGUCGUAAUCGGGAUUAAGAGAUCGAUCAAUAGCUUGACGGCCUUUUUCCAGACAAGGUUUGCAGGCGAUCUCUAUAGCUACCCAUCCAAGUACAAGUCCUGCCACUGCUAUCAAUGCACUCGUUAUCGCUGCCAUUUUCCAAUUCUUCGCUCAAUAAAAUCGUUUGCUUCGAGAGCAAUUCCUUGAUCUUUCUCGCCGGAAAUGGGCACUUGCGUUUCGUUG
rnacentral:misc_RNA from 1 species